rnacentral:rRNA from 1 species
UUAAAACGCAUAGAGAGUAAGGGCUGGGUAAGACGGGUGCCAGCCGCCGCGGUAAUACCUGCAGCUCAAGUGGUGGCCGCUAUUAUUGGGCCUAAAACGUCCGUAGCCUGCUUAAUAAAUGCCUGGGUAAAUCGUGUAGCUCAACUAUACGAAUUCCGGGUAGACUGUUAAGCUUGAGACCGGGAGAAGUUAGAGGUACUCCUGGGGUAGAGGUGAAAUUCUGUAAUCCUAGGGGGACCACCAGUGGCGAAGGCGUCUGACUAGAACGGGUCUGACGGUGAGGGACGAAGCCCUGGGGCGCGAACCGGAUUAGAUACCCGGGUAGUCCAGGGUGUAAACGCUGCUUGCUUGAUGUUAGUCGGGCUCCGAGCCCGAUUAGUGUCGGAGAGAAGUUGUUAAGCAAGCUGCCUGGAAGUACGUCGCAAGAC